rnacentral:rRNA from 1 species
UACGAAGGGGGCUAGCGUUGUUCGGAAUUACUGGGCGUAAAGCGCGCGCAGGCGGUCUUCCAAGUCAGUGGUGAAAGCCUGGAGCUCAACUCCAGAACUGCCAUUGAAACUGCAAGACUUGAGUACGAGAGAGGUGAGUGGAAUUCCCAGUGUAGAGGUGAAAUUCGUAGAUAUUGGGAAGAACACCGGUGGCGAAGGCGGCUCACUGGCUCGUAACUGACGCUCAGGCGCGACAGCGUGGGGAUCAAACAGG